CGGCGCGCCUAACACAUGCAAGUCGAACGGGAUCUAUUAUAAAAGCUUGCUUUUGGUAUAGAUCUAGUGGCGGACGGGUGAGUAACACGUGAGCAACCUGCCCUGGAGUGGGGGAUAACGUCUGGAAACGGACGCUAAUACCGCAUGAUAUCCUGAUAUGGCAUCGUAUUGGGAUCAAAGGAUUUAUUCGCUUUGGGAUGGGCUCGCGUCCGAUUAGUUUGUUGGUGAGGUAAAGGCUCACCAAGACUGCGAUCGGUAGCCGGACUGAGAGGUUGAUCGGCCACAUUGGGACUGAGACACGGCCCAGACUCCUACGGGAGGCAGCAGUGGGGGAUAUUGCACAAUGGGGGAAACCCUGAUGCAGCGACGCCGCGUGAGUGAAGACGGCCUUCGGGUUGUAAAGCUCUGUCGUGGAGGACGAUAAUGACGGUACUCCAUAAGAAAGCCACGGCUAACUACGUGCCAGCAGCCGCGGUAAUACGUAGGUGGCAAGCGUUGUCCGGAAUUACUGGGUGUAAAGGAAGCGUAGGCGGGAGAAUAAGUUGGAUGUGAAAUACCGCAGCUCAACUGCGGGGCUGCAUCCAAAACUGUUUUUCUUGAAUUAAGUAAAAGCAGGCGGAAUUCCUAAUGUUACCGGUGAAAUGCGUAAAUAUUAGGAAGAACACCAGUUGCCAAGGCGGCUGCUGGGCUUUUACUGACCCUGAAGCUCGAAAACCUUG
rnacentral:rRNA from 1 species